rnacentral:rRNA from 1 species
GGGAUAACGCAUCGAAAAAUGUGCUAAUACCGCGUAAGACCACAGCUUCACAUGGAGCAGAGGUCAAAGGAGCAAUCCGGAUAAAGAUGGGCUCGCGUCCGAUUAGCUAGUUGGUGAGAUAACAGCCCACCAAGGCGACGAUCGGUAGCCGACCUGAGAGGGUGAUCGGCCACAUUGGAACUGAGAAACGGUCCAGACUCCUACGGGAGGCAGCAGUGGGGAAUAUUGGGCAAUGGGCGAAAGCCUGACCCAGCAACGCCGCGUGAGGGAAGAAGGGUUUCGGCUCGUAAACCUCUGUCCUAUGGGACGAAGGAAGUGACGGUACCAUAGGAGGAAGCCCCGGCUAACUACGUGCCAGCAGCCGCGGUAAUACGUAGGGGGCGAGCGUUGUCCGGAAUGAUUGGGCGUAAAGGGCGCGUAGGCGGCCUGCUAAGUCUGGAGUGAAAGUCCUGCUUUCAAGGUGGGAAUUGCUUUGGAUACUGGUGGGCUGGAGUGCAGGAGAGGAAAGCGGAAUUACCGGUGUAGCGGUGAAAUGCGUAGAGAUCGGUAGGAACACCAGUGGCGAAGGCGGCUUUCUGGACUGAAACUGACGCUGAGGCGCGAAAGCGUGGGGAGCAAACAGGAUUAGAUACCCUGGUAGUCCACGCGGUAAACGAUGAAUGCUAGGUGUAGGAGGUAUCGACCCCUUCUGUGCCGCAG